UACAGAGGUCCCAAGCGUUGUUCGGAUUCACUGGGCGUAAAGGGUGCGUAGGUGGCCGGGUAAGUCUGAUGUGAAAUCUCCGAGCUUAACCCGGAAAUGGCAUUAGAAACUGUGAGGCUUGAGGCUUGGAGGGGGAACUGGAAUUCUCGGUGUAGCAGUGAAAUGCGUAGAGAUCGAGAGGAACACCAGUGGCGAAGGCGCCUCACUGGGCGGUUGCUGACACUGAGGGACGAAAGCAAGGGGAGCAAACAGG
rnacentral:rRNA from 1 species